CCUACGGGUGGCAGCAGUGAGGAAUAUUGGUCAAUGGACGAGAGUCUGAACCAGCCAAGUAGCGUGAAGGAUGACUGCACUGUGGGUUGUAAACUUCUUUUAUAUGGGAAUAAAUUGUUGCACGUGUGGGAGUUUGUAUGUACCAUAUCAAUACGGAUCGGCUAACUCCAUGCCAGCAGCCGCGGUUAUACGGAGGAGCCGAGCGUUCACCGGUUUUAUUGGGGUUAAAGGGUGCGUGAGGGGAUUGCUAAGUCCGAUGUUAAAGUUUGCGGGGCAACCGUAAAAUUGCCGUUGAAACAGGCAGUGUUGAGGACAGUAGAGGUGAGCGGGAAUCGUGGUGUAGCGGUGGAA
rnacentral:rRNA from 1 species